rnacentral:lncRNA from 1 species
CGUAGCUUCCUUGUCGUGUGGCCUCAGUCCUUCGCCGUCCCUCGCCGUCCUUCGCCAUCGCACGCCACCGCACCCCAUCUCUCGAAAUCUGCAGACAUCUUGAUUUUUCCCACGCUGUCUGUCAGGUCUCCGCCGCCACUCGACGCCAGGGCGCCGGGUGAGUCCACAGCAGGGCGCAUGGUCGGCUCCACUCUCACCAUCGGGGGAAACUGAGGCCCCGGGGAAGGCGGCCAGAGAGGUCAGGCCCUGUCCUUGGUGCAGUGUCUCGUCCUCUUUGCCGGAGUGAGCCCCCCAGGAUUCGCGUGUCCUCGGGAAAGACACUGGCAGGCCUUGUGGGCUGUGCUGCACCUCGGACGGCUUCGCACCAGCCAGCGCCCUCUCUCUCCUGCAGCACUCUGAUCUGCACCCCCUGAGGGGCUUCCACUGUCCGCGGGGUGAGAAUGCCCCUGGGAGUGUCACAUGACUGCCGCCCCAUGUGUGUGAGAGGCGUCCUCUGGGAGAGCAUGGAUCCUGAGGUCCCAGGAUUGUCAGCUGACCUCUGUCCUGUGUGCCCAGUGGCCCCAGGUGACGUGUCUUCAAGAAGAGGCUGAGCUGCGGUGCUUGUAAGGGUCUCAUUCUGUCACCCAGGCUGGAGUGCAGUGGUGCAAUGAUGGCUCACUGCAGCCUCGACCUGGGCUCAAGUGAUCCUCCACCUCAGCUUCCUGAGUAGCUGGGACCACAGAGUCAUGUGCUGUUCCUGGGGCUUGGAUGAUGUAGGGGAAGCAAGGUGAAAGUGGUAUCCCGUGGUUCCACGUUCUGUCCUGCUGUGGGGCUGUCCCUCACAUGCUUUCAGUGGCUGUUGCAGAGGAAGAGCCUCCGGAAAUCUGCGUGGGUCUCAGCCUUAGAUCCAAGGACAGUCCAAGGAAGUCCUAAGACCAUGGAGUUGGUGAUCUGGGAUCUGGGUUUGCUGAUAUUUCUCACCGUGAAUCUCUUGGUGGUGUUUGUGGGCACGAGAGGGGCAGAGAAUGGAGAGUGAGGCUACCACAUGAAGCGUCACCAGAGCUGCUCCCUGCUGCCUGCUCAGAGCACCCCGGAUCCACUGUUCAAUCUGCACAAGAUUCGGGGUCCAGACAUGGGAGACUUCAGCUGCCUCAGAGGACCGUGGACAGGGAAGGCCAGCCUCGCAUCCCUCUGUCCAUGCCUGGAAUGACUUUAAUAACCAAGAGUUUUAUUUUUGAAUUUGUAGCUGUCGUUCACUUUUUACCCACCCAUUCAAUAAACCUUACAGAAUUGCUCCA